AGGCCAUGGUGUGGGCAUAAUCUCAUUAACUCCUUGAACUUGUUCCAAGCCUCAUACAAUGAUUCACCAUAUUUUAAAAAAAAACUAGUGAUUUGGUUCCGCAACU